UGGGGGACAACGUUUCGAAAGGAACGCUAAUACCGCAUACGUCCUACGGGAGAAAGCAGGGGACCUUCGGGCCUUGCGCUAUCAGAUGAGCCUAGGUCGGAUUAGCUAGUUGGUGGGGUAAUGGCUCACCAAGGCGACGAUCCGUAACUGGUCUGAGAGGAUGAUCAGUCACACUGGAACUGAGACACGGUCCAGACUCCUACGGGAGGCAGCAGUGGGGAAUAUUGGACAAUGGGCGAAAGCCUGAUCCAGCCAUGCCGCGUGUGUGAAGAAGGUCUUCGGAUUGUAAAGCACUUUAAGUUGGGAGGAAGGGCAGUAAGUUAAUACCUUGCUGUUUUGACGUUACCGACAGAAUAAGCACCGGCUAACUCUGUGCCAGCAGCCGCGGUAAUACAGAGGGUGCAAGCGUUAAUCGGAAUUACUGGGCGUAAAGCGCGCGUAGGUGGUUUGUUAAGUUGGAUGUGAAAGCCCCGGGCUCAACCUGGGAACUGCAUCCAAAACUGGCAAGCUAGAGUACGGUAGAGGGUGGUGGAAUUUCCUGU
rnacentral:rRNA from 1 species